rnacentral:rRNA from 1 species
UACAGAGGUCUCAAGCGUUGUUCGGAUUCAUUGGGCGUAAAGGGUGCGUAGGCGGCGCGGUAAGUCGGGUGUGAAAUCUUGGAGCUUAACUCCGAAACUGCAUUCGAUACUGCCGUGCUUGAGGACUGGAGAGGAGACUGGAAUUUACGGUGUAGCAGUGAAAUGCGUAGAUAUCGUAAGGAAGACCAGUGGCGAAGGCGAAUCUCUGGACAGUUACUGACACUGAGGCUCGAAGGCCAGGGGAGCAAACGGG